rnacentral:rRNA from 1 species
AAUGAACGUUGGCGGCGUGGAUUAGGCAUGCAAGUCGAGCGAGAACCGGUUUCGGCCGGGGACAGCGGCGAACGGCGUAGUAAUGCAUCGGAACGUACCCUCUGGUCGGGGAUAGCUACGGGAAACUGUAGGUAAUACCCGAUGAUCUCUGCGGAGCAAAGGUGAGAUUCCGCCGGAGGAGCGGCUGAUGUGAUAUUAGCUAGUUGGUGGGGUAAUGGCCUACCAAGGCGAUGAUGUCUAGGGGGUGUGAGAGCAUGGCCCCCACGACCGGAACGGAGAUACUGUCCGGACACCUACGGGUGGCUGCAGUCGAGAAUCUUCCGGAAUGGACGAAAGUCUGACGGAGCGACGCCGCGUGCGGGAUGAAGGCCCUUGGGUUGUAAACCGCUGUCAGAGGGGAUGAAAUCUUCGGAGGUACUCCUCCGAAGUUGACAGAGCCUCAAAGGAAGCACGGGCUAAGUACGUGCCAGCAGCCGCGGUAAUAC